AUUGAGUUUAUUUACUAAAAUAAUAUACGAUAAGCCAUCGAUCAAAAAUGGCGUCGAACAGCGAGGAAGAGCAAAGUUUAAGAGAAUGUGAAGCGUACGUUCAGCGACAUAAUAUUCAGCAAAUUUUAAAAGAUUGUAUUGUUCAAUUAUGCGUUAGUCGACCAGAAAAUCCUAUAUCUUUUCUAAGGGCUUAUUUUCAAAGAUUAGAAAAGAAUGCCUGUAACGUGCACUAGGGGGUGAAUAAUGGAAAAAUGGAUAGUUUUGAAAAUUAUAUAGUGGACUCCCAGAAGAAUUAAAUGGCUUAGAACUGACCCCACCAAGUAAGCUGCUCUCAGAGAUGGAGGAUUAGUCAUCAAUUAUUAGCUGGUGGAUGUUAAAAAUCAUAUUUGUUGUAUCUAGUAACAACAAAAGUGUAAAGCAAUAGUUAAGACAGCAUUUCUGUCUUAAGAAUUUUUCAUAAUGUGAGUGAUUUCAACUAAAUUGUGGUAACUAAAACUUUGAGGUGGUAAUAAUACUAGAAUUUUUUUACUCA